UUUUAGUAGAGAUGGGGUUUCACCAUGUUGGCCAGGCUAGUCUCAAACUCCUGACCUCAGGUGAUCCGCCUGCCUCAACUUCCCAAAGUGCUCAGAUUACAGGUGUGAAAAGUGCAUUCCUAGAUAGUAUUUUUCCUUGUGGAUUCAUGAAUGUAGGUCGUUCAGUGUUUUCUGACAAAGUCCGCUGGCAGCCAACCACCAUUCUACUUUGUGUCUCCAUGAAUUUCACUAUUCUAAGCACCUAAUGGUCUUGUGCUGUCACUCAAGCUGGAACGCAGUGGUGCAAUCAAGGCUCACUGCAGCCUCAAUCUCCCAGCCUCAAGCAAUCCUCCCACCUCAGCCUCC